CAGUGCUGGGUCUCAUGAAGCAAUGUUCUUGAGUAACUCCACUAUGGCAUGGGCUCUGCUGCUCCAUAUCCUCCUCUCUCAGGGAACAGGUUA
rnacentral:pre_miRNA from 1 species